AAAAAUUAAUAAAAUAAAAAUAAUAUCACGUUUGGCAGCAAAACUGUCGAUGGACUGACUAUGAAAAAAAUACGACUGCAAAGAUUCAUUUGGGGGCAACAGUUAAUAUCGGCAAACAGCACACACCAGCACGCUUCAGUUGAAAAGAUAAACAAAUAAAUAAAAGUAAUAUCAGGUUUGGCAGCGAAACUGUCGAUGGACUGACUAUGAAAAAAUACGACUGCAAGGAUUCAUUUGGGGCCAACAGUUAGUAUUGGCAGACAGCACACACCAGCACGCUACAGUUGAAAAGAUAAACAAAUAAAUAAAAGUAAUAUCAGGUUUGGCAGGGAAAUUGUCGAUGGACUGACUAUGAAAAAAUACGACUGCAAGGAUUUAUUUGGGGCCAACAGUUAGUAUCGGCAGACAGCACACACCAGCACGCUGCGGUUGAAAAAAAUAAAUAAGUAAAAGUAAUAUCAGGUUUGGCAGUGAAAUUGUUGUUGCUAGAAAUUUUGUGUGUGUGUAGGAAGCCAUAUAAUUUGUGUUUCAUUUCUGGACACAAAAAAAAUGCUGAAAACUUAUUCCUUUGUUGUUUCUUCCCUUUCUUUUUCUUCUCUUUACUUGGUUAGUCCAGCAUCAUUCAAUCAUUCAGUUACUCCUCCUCUUUCUCUCUCUUCCUCCUCCUCUCAUUCUUUUCUUCUCUUCUUCUUUUCUUUCUUCCUCAAUUUCUGUUACUCCUCUCCUCUCCUCUCCUUUCCUCAUUCAUUCAUUCAUUCAGUAACUCUUCCUCCUUCUCUUCCACUUCCUCAUCCAUCCUCUUCCUCGUGCAAAACCCCCAAAACUGUGUACUGAACAAUAUGACAACCUGAGUCGCCAAGCAAGCCAGGCAGCUCAGUGACAACCCUUGGUCCCAACACUCAAGAUGAUUUACAACACUGCUGCUACACUGUAACUCACCACACACCGUCAUGACUCAAGGGAAGAGUUUGCGAUGUUGUAGAAAUAUCGCAACUCCUAACCACCAUACGAUAUCUUUAAACAUUUCAGCACCCAGUCUCACAAGGCUUUCAUAGGAUUCCUGGGUAUUUCCAUGGGUAGUUUUAUGACCCUUUGACGAAGCACCUGUAACAUGAACUGAUAUUUUUAAACAUUUCAGCGCCCAGUUUCAUGUAUUUGACAAGGCUUUCGUGGGAUUUCUCUGUAUUUCCGUGGGUACUUACUUUUAUGACCCUGGUGUUAGUUUGACAAAGUUUCUGUAACAUGAACCGACAUUUUUAAACAUUACAGCAUCCAGUCUCACAAGGCUUUCAUAGGAUUUCUGGGUAUUUCCAUGGGUAGUUUUAUGUCCCUGGUGGUAGUCUGACGAAGCUUCUGUAACAUGAACUGAUAUUUUUAAACAUUUCAGCGCCCAGUGUCAUGUAUUUGGCAAGGCUUUCAUGGGAUUUCUGGGUAUUUCCACGAUUACUUACUUUUAUGACCCUGGUGUUAGUUUGACAAAGUUUCUGUAACAUGAACUGGUAUUUUUAAACAUUACAGCACCCAGUCCCACAAGGCUUUUGGAGGAUUUCUGGGUAUUUCCAUGGGUAGUUUUAUGACCCUGGUGUUAGUUUGACUAAGUUUCUGUGACAUGAACCGGUAUUUUUAAACAUUAUGGUACCCAGUCUCACAAGGCUUUCAUGGGAUUUCUCUGUAUUUCCGUGGGUACUUACUUUUAUGACCCUGGUGUUAGUUUGACAAAGUUUCUGUGACAUGAACCGGUAUUUCUAAACAUUUUGGCGCCAAGUCUCACAAGGCUUUCAUAGGAUUUCUGGGUAUUUCCAUGGGUUGUUUUAUGACCCUGGUGGUAGUCUGACAAAGCUUCUCUGACAUGAACUUCCAAAACUGCUCAUUAGAACCAGAUGAAUCUCUCUCUCGGCCUUUGGAAGCAUCUGAGAAUACCGACCAAUAUCUCUAGUUCUCUUUAUAUCUCACAAGACUAAUUUACUUCAACCAACUCCAAAGCCUUGUCAGCCAUUACGAGUCCCUAAAAUUAGCAGACAGAGAGGCCAUACUAAACGAGGACUCCAACGACAUCAUCUUACGCAUGUUCCUGUCGUAUACAAACCCUCGUAUGGACACACCAGAAGCACACAAACACAGAUUUUUCACACGUACCGGCAAAGAACGAGAGACACACAAGAAAACAGAUUAAACCAGGAAAAUCAUAGACCCAGAGAGCACCAACAACCAGCCAAGCAAUGCAAGAGCGAGGGAGCGAGGGAGUGAGUGAAUGAAGCAAGAGAUGGAUCAGUAAGUGGAAGAGUAAGAGGAGGAGUAACUGAAUGAAUGACAAAAGGAAAGGAGAG